rnacentral:ncRNA from 1 species
GUGCGGGAGAGAGUCGCUGCACAGCCACUGCAGAGGCCGCCGAAGGAGCAAGCGCCCCGUCAAACUCUCAGGCACAGGUACCGCACGGG